rnacentral:rRNA from 1 species
GAACGCGUGGAGCAUGGGGUUAAUUUGACUCAACGCGGGAAAUCUUACCGGGUCCGGACACACUGAGGAUUGACAGGCGAAAGAGCUUCGGCUCUGUAAAUAUGCUAGUCCUUUCAUGAUUGUGUGAUAGGUGGUGCAUGGCCGUUCUUAGUUCGUGGAAUAUUCUGUCUGCUUAAUUGCGUCUUCUCAUCGGUACGACCCUUCAUUAAGGUGUUUCAUGUUGGGGCAGACUUCGGUUUGUUUUUUCCGACUGAUCACCGAAGGUGUACGUACUUUUUGCAACGAACGUGACAUCAACCCUUCUUUUUUUGUGGCCAGUUUCGGAAGGAAGAGAUGAUCAAGUCGCUUCGGUGAUUUGUAAAUCUUUUUCUAUUCGUUUUUAGUUGGAAUACAUUACAGAAGGGGACUGCCAGCUCAAGCUGGAGGAAGGUUGAUGCGAUAACAGGUCUGUGAUGCCCUUAGAUGUUCCGGGCCGCACACGUGCUACAAUGAUCUAUGCAGUAAGCAUAUAUUCAAAUCUGUUUUUUUCGAUUUUAUUAUCUUAAAAACAGUAAACCUACUUCGAAAAGUCAGUAGGUAAUCAUUUCUAAGUAUAGAUUUCCUUUGAAGCUUUUUCUGUGACUAUCUUUUGGUAGUUCACGAUUGCUCUUAUUUGUAGACUUCAUAGUGGGGACAGACCUUUGUUAAUUGUUGGUCUCGUUUUCAACUAGGAAUGCCUUGUACGGGUCUUUGGUUCAACAAACCACCCGGAAUACGUCCCUGCCCUUUGUACACACCGCCCGUC